rnacentral:rRNA from 1 species
UUUAAUUCGAAGCAACGCGAAGAACCUUACCUAAGCUUGACAUCCCAAUGACAUCUCCUUAAUCGGAGAGUUCCCUUCGGGGACAUUGGUGACAGGUGGUGCAUGGUUGUCGUCAGCUCGUGUCGUGAGAUGUUGGGUUAAGUCCCGCAACGAGCGCAACCCUUGUCUUUAGUUGCCAUCAUUAAGUUGGGCACUCUAGAGAGACUGCCAGGGAUAACCUGGAGGAAGGUGGGGAUGACGUCAAAUCAUCAUGCCCCUUAUGCUUAGGGCUACACACGUGCUACAAUGGGUAGUACAGAGGGUUGCCAAGCCGUAAGGUGGAGCUAAUCCCUUAAAGCUACUCUCAGUUCGGAUUGUAGGCUGAAACUCGCCUACAUGAAGCUGGAGUUACUAGUAAUCGCAGAUCAGAAUGCUGCGGUGAAUGCGUUCCCGGGUCUUGUACACACCGCCCGUCACACCACGGGAGUUGGAGACGCCCGAAGCCGAUUAUCUAACCUUUUGGAAGAAGUCGUCGAAGGUGGAAUCAAUAACUGGGGUGAAGUCGUAACAAGGUAGCCGUAUCGGAAGGUGCGGCUGGAUCACCUCCUUUCUAAGGA